GACGAACGCUGGCGGCGUGCUUAACACAUGCAAGUCGAACGGAAAGGCCCUGCUUUUGUGGGGUGCUCGAGUGGCGAACGGGUGAGUAACACGUGAGUAACCUGCCCUUGACUUUGGGAUAACUUCAGGAAACUGGGGCUAAUACCGGAUCGGAGCUCCUGCUGCAUGGUGGGGGUUGGAAAGUUUCGGCGGUUGGGUAUGGACUCGCGGCUUAUCAGCUUGUUGGUGGGGUAGUGGCUUACCAAGGCUUUGACGGGUAGCCGGCCUGAGAGGGUGACCGGCCACAUUGGGACUGAGAUACGGCCCAGACUCCUACGGGAGGCAGCAGUGGGGAAUAUUGCACAAUGGGCGGAAGCCUGAUGCAGCAACGCCGCGUGCGGGAUGACGGCCUUCGGGUUGUAAACCGCUUUCGCCUGUGACGAAGCGUGAGUGACGGUAAUGGGUAAAGAAGCACCGGCUAACUACGUG
rnacentral:rRNA from 1 species